rnacentral:rRNA from 1 species
UACGUAGGGGGCAAGCGUUGUCCGGAUUUAUUGGGCGUAAAGAGCGUGUAGGCGGCCUGGAAGGUCAGCUGUGAAAACUCGAGGCUCAACCUCGAGACGUCGGUUGAAACCACCUGGCUAGAGUCCGGAAGAGGAGUGUGGAAUUCCUGGUGUAGCGGUGAAAUGCGCAGAUAUCAGGAAGAACACCCGUGGCGAAGGCGGCUCUCUGGGACGGUACUGACGCUGAGACGCGAAAGCGUGGGGAGCGAACAGG